UACAGAGGUCUCAAGCGUUGUUCGGAUUCAUUGGGCGUAAAGGGUGCGUAGGCGGCGCGGUAAGUCGGGUGUGAAAUCUUGGAGCUUAACUCCGAAACUGCAUUCGAUACUGCCGUGCUUGAGGACUGGAGAGGAGACUGGAAUUUACGGUGUAGCGGUGAAAUGCGUAGAUAUCGUAAGGAAGACCAGUGGCGAAGGCGGCUUCCUGGACCAGAACUGACGAUCAGGCUCGAAAGCGUGGGGAGCAAACAGG
rnacentral:rRNA from 1 species